GUAGAGAAGUGCUUCUGGGGGAUGCCCUGGGUGCUAGAGGCCGAAGAAGGGCGUACACAAGGUUGCGAGAGCCGCGGGGAGCCACCGAGUGGGCGUUGAUCCGUGGGAACCCGAAUGGGGGAACCCGGCAUACGGGAACGUAGGUCACCGCGGGCCGAGAGGUUUGUGGGGGUAAGCAGGCGAACUGAAACAUCUCAGUAGCCUGAGGAGAGAGAAGCAAGCGCGAGUCCGUGAGUAGUGGCGAGCGAAAGCGGACGCAGCCCAAACCGACUGGACUGAGUGGACGCGCGUCCUAUGUUCAGGCGGGGUAGGACGAUACAAGUGGGGGUGCGCGCGGCAUCCCGCUUUGGAUGGACACAGAGGGGAAGCGUCUGGAAAGGCGUGACGAAGAGGGUGAGAUCCCCGUACUCGAAGGGUGUUGAAUCCGGAGUGAUUUGUAGACGUAAGUACCACUCUGCACGAGAAAUGGAGUGGGAAGCAGGGGGGACCACCCUCCAAGGCGCGAGUACCUCUAGCGACCGAUAGGGAAGUAGUACCGUGAGGGAACGGUGAAAAGGACCCCGGCGAGGGGAGUGAAAGAGAGCCUGAAACCGGAAGCAUACAGUCGGUCGGAGGGAGGCUGAGAGGUCUUCUAACGGCGUGCCUAUUGAAGAAUGAACCGGCGAGUAACGGGGCGUGGCGAGGCUAAGGGAGAGGAAUCCUGGAGUCGAAGCGCAAGCGAGUCUGAAGAGGGCGAGCGUAGCGGGAGUUACGCGGAGUCGCGUCCUGUUGACCCGAAACCGAGUGAGCUACCCGUGGCCAGGGUGAGGCGGGGGGACAACCCCGAGGAGGCCCGAACCGUCCUGCGUUGCAAAGCAGUUGGAAGAGCUGUGGGUAGAGGUGAAAUGCCAAGCGAACUCGGAGAUAGCUGGUUCUCCCCGAAAUGCAUUGAGGUGCAGCCUGCGCGAGGUGGCGUCUAUCAGGUAGCGCACUGUUGAAGCGAGGGGUCGUCGAGACUACCGACCUUCGGCAAACGACGAAUGGGUAGACGGAGACGCGUGGAGUGAGACGGUGGGGGCUAAGCUUCAUCGUCGAGACGGAAACAACCGAGACCGUCGGCUAAGGUCCCAAAGUACGAGCUGAGUGUAGAAGGAAGUGCGCGGGCGGAGACAGCCAGGAGGUUGGCUUAGAAGCAGCCAUCCUUGAAAGAGUGCGUAAUAGCUCACUGGUCGAGUGUGCGCGCGCCGACAAUGAACCGGGGCUAAAGCUCGUCACCGAAGCCGCGGAUUGUGACUGGAAGGUUGCAGUGGUAGGGGAGCGUCCUCGAGGCUGGCGAAGCGAGCGUGGGAACGCUGGUGGAGGCAAGAGGAGUGCGGAUGCCGGUAUGAGUAGCGAUAAGUGAGGUGGGAAGCCUCACCGCCGGAAGCCCAAGGGUUCCGACGCGAGGUACGUCCGCGUCGGGUUAGUCGGGCCUAAGCCGAGGGCGUGGUAGCCGUAGGCGAAGGGGAACGGGUUGAUAGUCCCGUACCGAUCCUGUCUUGCAUGACUGAAGCGGGGGAGCGCAGUGGCAGGUUUUGCGUGGCGAUGGAGAUGCCGCGUCCAAGCGUGUGGGCGGGUCGGGGGUAAAUGACCGACUGAAGCUAAGGCGUGACGGGGACAUUUUUGGGUGACCGAAGAUGGACAGAACUAAGCCUGUGGUGACAAGAAAAGCCGCGUAGGGAGAGGCGGGAUUGACCGUACCGGAGACCGACGCAGGUGGGCAGGUGCGUAGAGCACCGAGGCGAACGGGUGAUCCUCCGUCAAGGAACUCGGCAAAAUGCCCCCGUAACUUCGGGAGAAGGGGGACCAUCGGUAGGUGAAGCGACGCACGUUGUGGAGCCGAGGGUGGGCGCAGAGAGAAGGCCCAGGCGACUGUUUACCAAAAACACAGGUCCCUGCGAAGCUGAAAAGCGCGGUAUAGGGGCUGACACCUGCCCAGUGCCGGAAGGUUAAGGGGAGAUCUGAUGAGGAUUGAGCCGAAGCCCCGGUGAACGGCGGCCGUAACUAUAACGGUCCUAAGGUAGCGAAAUUCCUUGUCGGGUAAGUUCCGACCCGCACGAAUGGUGUAACGAUCUGGGUGCUGUCUCGACGGAGGGCCCGGCGAAAUUGAAGUGGCCGUGAAGAUGCGGCCGACCCGCGAUAGGACAAAAAGACCCCGUGGAGCUUUACUGCAGCUUGGCAUGGGUUUGGGGGGAGCGCUGCGUAGGAUAGGCGGGAGCCGGAGAAGUAUGCCUUUGGGGGUGUAUGGAGGCGACGGUGAAAUACCGCUCUGCGAUUUUCCUGAGUCUAACGGUACGCAAGUACGCGGACAGUGCCUGGUGGGCAGUUUGACUGGGGCGGUCGCCUCCCAAAGAGUAACGGAGGCGCCCAAAGGUUUCCUCGGGCCGGAUGGAAAUCGGCCGGAAGAGUGCAUUGGCAGAAGGAAGCCUGACAGGGAGGGGGACAACCCGACCUGGGGCGAAAGCCGGGCAAAGUGAUCCUACGGCGCCGAGUGGAAGGGCCGUGGCUUAACGGAUAAAAGUUACCCCGGGGAUAACAGGCUUAUCCUACCCAAGAGUUCACAUCGACGGUAGGGUUUGGCACCUCGAUGUCGGCUCGUCGCAUCCUGGGGCUGGAGUUGGUCCCAAGGGUUGGGCUGUUCGCCCAUUAAAGCGGCACGCGAGCUGGGUUCAGAACGUCGUGAGACAGUUCGGUCUCUAUCCAUCGUGGGCGGAGGAGGCUUGAGGGGGGCCGUCCCCAGUACGAGAGGACCGGGGCGGACGGACCGACGGUGUGAGGGUUGUCCUGCCAAGGGCAUGGCCCUGGAGCUGACGUCCGGAACGGAGAAGCGCUGACGGCAUCUAAGCGCGAAGCUGGCCCCAAGAUGAGGCCUCCCAUCGUGAUGAACGAGUAAGGCUGGUUGAAGACGACGACCUAGAUAGGCCGUGAGUGGAAGGCCGGUAACGGUUGGAGCUCUACGGUCCUAAUAGCCGAGGUC
rnacentral:rRNA from 1 species